rnacentral:piRNA from 1 species
UAGGAGAACAUGAAGAACCAGCCUGC